rnacentral:piRNA from 1 species
UAGAGUCACCAGAGAGGAGGGAAGCCUCGGC